rnacentral:tRNA from 1 species
GGGGGCGGAUCGGUCCUGGUGGGCCGCCCGGGCUUCAAACCCGGUUGAGCCGUAGUGAUCCUGCGGUUGGUGUGUUCGAUUCGCACACGCUCCCGCCA